rfam:Candidatus Woykebacteria bacterium RIFCSPHIGHO2_01_FTLL_39_12 rifcsphigho2_01_scaffold_5313, whole genome shotgun sequence.
GGGCUGGUAGCUCAGUUGGUUAGAGUGUUGCGUUGACAUCGCAAAGGUCAGAGGUUCAAAUCCUCUCCAGCCCA